CGGGUUGUAAAGCACUUUUAGUUGGAGGGAGAGGGGUGUUUUUAAUAGAGACAUUCUGAGACGUGCCCGACAGAAAAAGCACUGGCUAACUCUGUGC
rnacentral:rRNA from 1 species